rnacentral:rRNA from 1 species
UACAGAGGUCUCAAGCGUUGUUCGGAUUCAUUGGGCGUAAAGGGUGCGUAGGCGGCGCGGUAAGUCGGGUGUGAAAUCUCGGAGCUUAACUCCGAAACUGCAUUCGAUACUGCCGUGCUUGAGGACUGGAGAGGAGACUGGAAUUUACGGUGUAGCGGUGAAAUGCGUAGAUAUCGUAAGGAAGACCAGUGGCGAAGGCGGCGACCUGGGUAGAUACUGACGCUGAGGUGCGAAAGGCGUGGGGGAGCAAACAGG